UACAGAGGGUGCAAGCGUUAAUCGGAAUUAUUGGGCGUAAAGGGCUCGUAGGCGGUCCGUCACGUCGGGAGUGAAAUCCUGGGGCUUAACCCCAGAACUGCUUCCGAUACGGGCAGACUAGAGGUAGGUAGGGGAGAAUGGAAUUCCUGGUGUAGCGGUGGAAUGCGCAGAUAUCAGGAGGAACACCAGUGGCGAAGGCGGGUCUCUGGGCAGUAACUGACGCUGAGGAGCGAAAGCGUGGGGAGCGAACAGG
rnacentral:rRNA from 1 species